rnacentral:rRNA from 1 species
AUUGAACGCUGGCGGCAGGCCUAACACAUGCAAGUCGAGCGGAUGAAGGGAGCUUGCUCCUGGAUUCAGCGGCGGACGGGUGAGUAAUGCCUAGGAAUCUGCCUGGUAGUGGGGGAUAACGUCCGGAAACGGGCGCUAAUACCGCAUACGUCCUGAGGGAGAAAGUGGGGGAUCUUCGGACCUCACGCUAUCAGAUGAGCCUAGGUCGGAUUAGCUAGUUGGUGGGGUAAAGGCCUACCAAGGCGACGAUCCGUAACUGGUCUGAGAGGAUGAUCAGUCACAUUGGAACUGAGACCCGGUCCAGACCCCUACGGGAGGAAGCAGGGGGGAAUAUGGGACAAGGGGCGAAAGCCUGAUCCAGCCAUGCCGGGGGGGGGAAGAAGGUCUGCGGAUUGUAAAGCACUUUAAGUUGGGGGGAAGGGCAGUAAGUUAAUACCUUGCUGUUUUGACGUUACCAACAGAAUAAGCACCGGCUAACUUCGU